AUUGAAACUGUCGAGCUUGAGUGAAGUAGAGGUAGGCGGAAUUCCCGGUGUAGCGGUGAAAUGCGUAGAGAUCGGGAGGAACACCAGUGGCGAAGGCGGCCUACUGGGCUUUAACUGACGCUGAGGCACGAAAGCGUGGGUAGCAAACAGGAUUAGAUACCCUGGUAGUCCACGCUGUAAACGAUGAUUACUAGGUGUGGGUGGACUGACCCCAUCCGUGCCGGAGUAACACAAUAAGUAAUCCACCUGGGGAGUACGGCCGCAAGGCUGAAACUCAAAGGAAUUGACGGGGGCCCGCACAAGCAGUGGAGUAUGUGGAUUAAUUCGAUGCAACGCGAAGAACCUUACCAGGUCUUGACAUCCCGCUAACGAGGUAGAGAUACGUUAGGUGCCCUUCGGGGAAAGCGGAGACAGGUGGUGCAUGGUUGUCGUCAGCUCGUGUCGUGAGAUGUUGGGUUAAGUCCCGCAACGAGCGCAACCCUUACUGUUAGUUGCUACGCAAGAGCACUCUAGCAGGACCGCCGUUGACAAAACGGAGGAAGGUGGGGAUGAUGUCAAAUCAUCAUGCCCCUUAUGACCUGGGCCUCACACGUACUACAAUGGCCAUUAACAGAGGGAGGCAAAGCCGCGAGGCAGAGCAAAACCCUAAAAAUGGUCCCAGUUCGGAUCGCAGGCUGCAACCCGCCUGCGUGAAGUUGGAAUCGCUAGUAAUCGCGGAUCAGCAUGCCGCGGUGAAUACGUUCCCGGGCCUUGCACUCACCGCCCGUCA
rnacentral:rRNA from 1 species